AAGUUUGGAAUACUUAUAGUUUUUAUUGUGAUAUUUAUGUUUAAUUAUUUUUUUUUUUUUUUAGUAGUUUUCUAUAAGUACUUAUUGUUUGUGAUGAAUAAUCAUGGUUCGACAGUGUAUUCUUAAUUACUGAAAAGUUCAACAAGAACUACGCACGACCGUAAAUACCUUAUACCAUCGCGUAGGUAUAAUCACUAAAAUUUACAAAAUUUUAAGCAAACCAAUCUCAGUUCGAGUAAAACUAUGAUCAUGUAUCACAUUGAGAAAUAAAAAUGUGUUAAAAUAAAUCUAUUAUUUAAUUGUUUUAUA
rnacentral:lncRNA from 1 species